rnacentral:rRNA from 1 species
UACGUAGGGGCCAAGCGUUGUCCGGAUUUAUUGGGCGUAAAGAGCUCGUAGGCGGUUCGGCAAGUCAGCUGUGAAAUCUCCACGCUCAACGUGGAGGGGUCAGCUGAUACUGCUGUGACUCGAGUCCGGUAGGGGAGUGUGGAAUUCCCGGUGUAGCGGUGAAAUGCGCAGAGUAUCAGGAGGAACACCGAUUGCGAAGGCA